rnacentral:lncRNA from 1 species
GGUUGAAUAAUUAUAAUUGUGAUAUUUGAUUAAAAAAAAGUUGACAGAACAAAGAAAAAAAUUAAAAAAAAUUGAAAAAGAAAAGAAGGAUGUCAUUACAUAUUCCUUUUGAUCUGAAAAAGAAAAAAAUAAAGAGAAUAAAAAGAUAAAAGACAAGAAAAAUAGUUGAGAAGUUGUUGUUUGAAAGUUAACGAAAUAUUUUUGGUUCAACUCCCGCAACUCUUUCAGUUUUCUUUUGACCCUUUGGAUUUUAG